GAUGAACGCUGGCGGCGUGCUUAACACAUGCAAGCCGAACGGAGAAAGGGUAGCUUGCUAUCGUUUCUUAGUGGCGGACGGGUGAGUAACGCGUGGGUAACCUGCCCUUUGCAGGGGGAUAACAGUGAGAAAUCACUGCUAAUACCGCAUACCAACUUCUUUCGCAUGAAGGAAGUUUGAAAGAUUUAUCGGCAAAGGAUGGACCCGCGUUGGAUUAGCUAGUUGGUGAGAUAACAGCCCACCAAGGCAACGAUCCAUAGCCGGCCUGAGAGGGUGAACGGCCACACUGGGACUGAGACACGGCCCAGACUCCUACGGGAGGCAGCAGUGGGGAAUAUUGCACAAUGGGCGAAAGCCUGAUGCAGCGACUCCGCGUGAAGGAUGAAGGUCUUCGGAUUGUAAACUUCUAUCAGCAGGGAAGAAAGGGCCUAUGGCCUAUGACGGUACCUGACUAAGAAGCCCCGGCUAACUACGUG
rnacentral:rRNA from 1 species